AUUGUUGAUUUCUUCUCUUAAGCCGGAGCUCGGCUUCAGGAGUACUUUUCAAAAUAUCAUGUAUUUUGCUAACUCUAUAUAACUCCAUGUGUCAUUUCAUCCAGAAAACUUGUUUCUAAUGCUUUUUUCUCUGGACUCUAAGCUGGUUGAUGCCACCAGGCCUUGGGAAAAAGCCUGCCUUCUGAUAGGAUUGCUAUUGAGUAGCAAAAAUUCUUGGAUUCUGAUAACAUCUUUCAUGCAGAAACUCAAAGCAUCUCCCAAAUUAUAAGCUCAUUCUUUUACACUGUUCUACACUCUCACACUCUAAGAACAACUCAUUUCAAUCUUGGGACAUUGACCAGAAUUCAGGGAAACUAGCAUGAUCCUUCCACUCUGACGUUUCAUUCCAUCUAUGUCCAAAGCUGUGUCUACAAGGCAUCACCUAUGAGAUAAUAAAACAAACCCUCUGAAAACAGGAAAUUUGCCAGAAGCUGGCAAGCUGGGAAGACAUAAAACCAGGAUUUCAGCCAGAGACAGGGUUUCUCUAUGUUGCCCAGGCUGGUGUUGAACUCCUGGCCUCAAGUGAUCUUUCCACCUCAGCUUCUCAAAGUGCUGGAAUUACAGGCAUAAGCCACCAUGCCUGGCUGCAUGUCAUCUUCUGAGGUAUUAUUUUGAGAACAUAAAUAAAGAAUUCCACAAUC